rnacentral:rRNA from 1 species
AACGAACGCUGGCGGCAUGCCUAACACAUGCAAGUCGAACGAGACCUUCGGGUCUAGUGGCGCACGGGUGCGUAACGCGUGGGAAUCUGCCCUUGGGUUCGGAAUAACAGUUGGAAACGACUGCUAAUACCGGAUGAUGCCGUAAGUCCAAAGAUUUAUCGCCCAAGGAUGAGCCCGCGUAGGAUUAGCUAGUUGGUGAGGUAAAGGCUCACCAAGGCGACGAUCCUUAGCUGGUCUGAGAGGAUGAUCAGCCACACUGGGACUGAGACACGGCCCAGACUCCUACGGGAGGCAGCAGUGGGGAAUAUUGGACAAUGGGCGAAAGCCUGAUCCAGCAAUGCCGCGUGAGUGAUGAAGGCCUUAGGGUUGUAAAGCUCUUUUACCCGGGAUGAUAAUGACAGUACCGGGAGAAUAAGCGCCGGCUAACUCCGUG